rnacentral:rRNA from 1 species
CCUACGGGAGGCAGCAGUGGGGAAUAUUGGACAAUGGGGGCAACCCUGAUCCAGCCAUGCCGCGUGUGUGAAGAAGGCCCUCGGGUUGUAAAGCACUUUCAGUGAGGAAGAACGCCUGGUGGUUAAUACCCAUCAGGAAAGACAUCACUCACAGAAGAAGCACCGGCUAACUCCGUGCCAGCAGCCGCGGUAAUACGGAGGGUGCGAGCGUUAAUCGGAAUUACUGGGCGUAAAGCGCGCGUAGGUGGCUUGAUAAGCCGGUUGUGAAAGCCCCGGGCUCAACCUGGGAACGGCAUCCUGAACUGUCAAGCUAGAGUGCAGGAGAGGAAGGUAGAAUUCCCGGUGUAGCGGUGAAAUGCGUAGAGAUCGGGAGGAAUACCAGUGGCGAAGGCGGCCUUCUGGACUGACACUGACACUGAGGUGCGAAAGCGUGGGUAGCAAACAGGAUUAGAUACCCCGGUAGUC